GAAUUUAAAAAGUUUGUUUUGGUGAUUGUACUGUAUAUGUGCCUAGCAGUGACCCUUUCAGAAAUAAGUUCUCCACAAAUCAGUAAAAAUGAUUUCUUUCCCUCUCAUUUCCUUUUUUCAGGCUCAUCCUGCAAUAGAGGAGGGUCCAUACAUGGGACUGCAGUACCCAUCUCAGGAUACAUACAGUGAGCUGAAAUGAUAAUGUGAUACAGAUAAUUCAUUGCCGAUAUUGGGUUGGAGAAGACUUCCAGUGGAACAUUCAGUUAUAGCAAAUUACAUUGUCUGAGCCCUGUUUAAUCAUCUCCUGACACCUCCUCCAGUGACCAAAGAUUGCUGCAAUGAGGGGAUUCAGUAUUUUAUGUACUGGUUCACCAA